rnacentral:rRNA from 1 species
AUUGAACGCUGGCGGCAUGCCUUACACAUGCAAGUCGAACGGCAGCACGGGAGCAAUCCUGGUGGCGAGUGGCGAACGGGUGAGUAAUAUAUCGGAACGUGCCCAGUCGUGGGGGAUAACGUAGCGAAAGCUACGCUAAUACCGCAUACGAUCUAUGAAUGAAAGCGGGGGAUCGCAAGACCUCGCGCGAUUGGAGCGGCCGAUAUCAGAUUAGGUAGUUGGUGGGGUAAAGGCCCACCAAGCCGACGAUCUGUAGCUGGUCUGAGAGGACGACCAGCAACACUGGGACUGAGACACGGCCCAGACUCCUACGGGAGGCAGCAGUGGGGAAUUGUGGACAAUGGGCGCAAGCCUGAUCCAGCAAUGCCGCGUGCAGGAUGAAGGCCUUCGGGUUGUAAACUGCUUUUGUACGGAGCGAAAAGGCUUCCACUAAUACUGGGGGCUCAUGACGGUACCGUAAGAAUAAGCACCGGCUAACUACGUGCCAGCCGCCGCAGUAA